rnacentral:rRNA from 1 species
ACGAACGCUGGCGGCACGCUUAACACAUGCAAGUCGAACGAAGUUAUUUGAGCUUGCUUAGAUAACUUAGUGGCGGACGGGUGAGUAACACGUGAGCAAUCUGCCUUUCAGAGGGGGAUACCGAUUGGAAACGAUCGUUAAUACCGCAUAACAUAGUAAAUUCGCAUGUUUUUGCUAUCAAAGAUUUAUCGCUGAAAGAUGAGCUCGCGUCUGAUUAGGUAGUUGGUGAGGUAACGGCCCACCAAGCCGACGAUCAGUAGCCGGACUGAGAGGUUGAACGGCCACAUUGGGACUGAGACACGGCCCAGACUCCUACGGGAGGCAGCAGUGGGGAAUAUUGCACAAUGGAGGAAACUCUGAUGCAGCGAUGCCGCGUGAGGGAAGAAGGUUUUCGGAUUGUAAACCUCUGUGUACAGGGACGAUAAUGACGGUACCUGUUCAGAAAGCUCCGGCUAACUACGUGCCAGCAGCCGCGGUAAUACGUAGGGAGCGAGCGUUGUCCGGAAUUACUGGGUGUAAAGGGAGUGUAGGCGGGACGGCAAGUCAGAUGUGAAAUUUAGGGGCUAAACUCCUGACCUGCAUUUGAAACUGCUGUUCUUGAGUGAAGUAGAGGUAAGCGGAAUUCCUAGUGUAGCGGUGAAAUGCGUAGAUAUUAGGAGGAACAUCAGUGGCGAAGGCGGCUUACUGGGCUUUAACUGACGCUGAGGCUCGAAAGCGUGGGGAGCAAACAGGAUUAGAUACCCUGGUAGUCCACGCCGUAAACGAUGAUUACUAGGUGUGGGGGGACUGACCCCUUCCGUGCCGCAGUUAACACAAUAAGUAAUCCACCUGGGGAGUACGGUCGCAAGACUGAAACUCAAAGGAAUUGACGGGGGCCCGCACAAGCAGUGGAGUAUGUGGAUUAAUUCGAAGCAACGCGAAGAACCUUACCAGGUCUUGACAUCGAUCGAAUCCGAAAGAGAUUUUGGAGUGCCCUUCGGGGAACGUGAAGACAGGUGGUGCAUGGUUGUCGUCAGCUCGUGUCGUGAGAUGUUGGGUUAAGUCCCGCAACGAGCGCAACCCUUAUGUUUAGUUGCUACGCAAGAGCACUCUAGACAGACUGCCGUUGACAAAACGGAGGAAGGUGGGGAUGACGUCAAAUCAUCAUGCCCCUUAUGACCUGGGCCUCACACGUACUACAAUGGCUGUAAACAGAGGGAAGCUAAGCAGUGAUGUGGAGCAAAUCCCCAAAAGCAGUCUUAGUUCGGAUUGUAGGCUGCAACCCGCCUACAUGAAGUCGGAAUUGCUAGUAAUCGCGGAUCAGCAUGCCGCGGUGAAUACGUUCCCGGGCCUUGUACACACCGCCCGUCACACCAUGGGAGUUGGUAACACCCGAAGUCAGUAGCCUAACCGCAAGGAGGGCGCUGCCGAAGGUGGGAUCGAUGACUGGGGUG